CGCUAAUACCGCAUAUUCUGUGAGCAGGAUAGCAGGGGAUCGCAAGACCUUGCGCUGAUUGAGCGGCCGAUAUCAGAUUAGCUUGUUGGUGAGGUAAAAGCUCACCAAGGCGACGAUCUGUAGCGGGUCUGAGAGGAUGAUCCGCCACACUGGAACUGAGACACGGUCCAGACUCCUACGGGAGGCAGCAGUGGGGAAUUUUGGACAAUGGGGGCAACCCUGAUCCAGCCAUGCCGCGUGAGUGAAGAAGGCCUUCGGGUUGUAAAGCUCUUUCAGCCGGGAAGAAAACGCAUGGGUUAAUACCCUGUGUGGAUGACGGUACCGGAAUAAGAAGCACCGGCUAACUACGUGCCAGCAGCCGCGGUAAUACGUAGGGUGCGAGCGUUAAUCGGAAUUACUGGGCGUAAAGCGUGCGCAGGCGGUUUUGUAAGACAGGCGUGAAAUCCCCGGGCUUAACCUGGGAACUGCGUUUGUGACUGCAAGGCUAGAGUACGGCAGAGGGGGGUGGAAUUCCACGUGUAGCAGUGAAAUGCGUAGAGAUGUGGAGGAACACCAAUGGCGAAGGCAGCCCCCUGGGUCGAUACUGACGCUCAUGCACGAAAGCGUGGGUAACAAGCAGGAUUAGAUACCCUGGUAGUCCACGCCCUAAACGAUGUCAACUAGGUGUUGGGAGGGUAAAACCUUUUAGUACCGGAGCUAACGCGUGAAGUUGACCGCCUGGGGAGUACGGCCGCAAGGUUAAAACUCAAAGGAAUUGACGGGGACCCGCACAAGCGGUGGAUGAUGUGGAUUAAUUCGAUGCAACGCGAAAAACCUUACCUACCCUUGACAUGCCAAGAACUUUCCAGAGAUGGAUUGGUGCCCGAAAGGGAACUUGACACAGGUGCUGCAUGGCUGUCGUCAGCUCGUGUCGUGAGAUGUUGGGUUAAGUCCCGCAACGAGCGCAACCCUUGUCGUUAAUUGCCAUCAUUUAGUUGGGCACUUUAACGAGACUGCCGGUGACAAACCGGAGGAAGGUGGGGAUGACGUCAAGUCCUCAUGGCCCUUAUGGGUAGGGCUUCACACGUCAUACAAUGGUCGGUACAAAGGGUCGCCAAGCCGCGAGGUGGAGCCAAUCCCAGAAAGCCGAUCGUAGUCCGGAUCGCAGUUUGCAACUCGACUGCGUGAAGUCGGAAUCGCUAGUAAUCGUGGAUCAGAAUGUCACGGUGAAUACGUUCCCGGGUCUUGUACACACCGCCCGUCACACCAUGGGAGCGGGUUCCGCCAGAAGUAGGUAGCCUAACCGCAAGGAGGGCGCUUACCGCGGCGGGGUUCGUGACUGGGGUGAAGUCGAAACAAGGUA
rnacentral:rRNA from 1 species